CUUACUUUCCCAAUUCUUCUGCAAAAUCCAUACUCACUUUCAAUUACUUUGAUUCUUCAUCAAUUUCUCAGCUCUACAUCUAUUAUCAUGCAGUUGCUCGUGGUGUGGUUCGGGAGUUGCUGCAGCUCGGAUUGGUGUUUGGUCAGUGGUGCAGCGACCGAGAUUUGGUACGUACGGUGGCGAGCUAAUGGUUGCAGCUAGUUGUGCAAUUGAGGUGGAGCUACUUGAGUGAUAGCCUGAUAGGCUUAUAUAUAGUUUGGCAUGUGGUGAUAUAGUGACCUUUAGGUAAAUGGUUGUAACCUUGUUUCUAUAUGUAGUGACCUUUGUGGCUUUGUGU